rfam:Triticum aestivum genome assembly, contig: Triticum_aestivum_CS42_TGACv1_scaffold_221329_3B
AAAGUACUCCCUCCAUCCCAAAAUUCUUGUCUUAUAUUUGUCUAGAUACGGAUGUAUCAAGUCUACAUCCAUAUCUAGACAAAUCUAAGACAAGAAAUUUGGGACAGAGGGAGGAGAUG